rnacentral:rRNA from 1 species
UGCGUAGGCGGAAUAUUAAGUCAGUGGUGAAAUCCUGCGGCUCAACCGUAGAACUGCCAUUGAUACUGAUAUUCUUGAAUGUAGUUGAGGUAGGCGGAAUGUGUAAUGUAGCGGUGAAAUGCUUAGAUGUUACACAGAACACCGAUUGCGAAGGCAGCUUACUAAACUAUGAUUGACGCUGAUGCACGAAAGCGUGGGGAGCGAACAGGAUUAGAUACCCUGGUAGUCC